CGAAGACUGGGAAUUGGGAUCGUCACUUUCAACACCUCUAAGAAGAAUAUGUCGGUACAGUUUCUUGAGACCAGAGCAGUUUGCACCCUGGAACAGACACUCUGAUAUUCAAGAGUGGAAUUCAUCAGCAUCACGGAAGGGCAGAUUCAACUACGAACAAAAUCAAG